UCAUUCUUUUACAAAGAAACUGUCCGGUUUGGCCAAUGUACAUAGCAGAGGGGCAUUGCUGACACAUGAUGGCAUAUAUCAUAUUAGUAGAUGUUCAGGUGAAUGAGCCCCGGAUGGUGUGUCUCAUGUGGUUGGGUUCUCUGAUGGUGGGUC